rnacentral:rRNA from 1 species
AGCGAACGCUGGCGGCAGGCUUAACACAUGCAAGUCGAGCGGGCACUUUCGGGUGUCAGCGGCGGACGGGUGAGUAACGCGUGGGAACGUGCCCUCUGGUUCGGAAUAACUCAGGGAAACUUGAGCUAAUACCGGAUACGCCCUUUUGGGGAAAGGCUUGCUGCCGGAGGAUCGGCCCGCGUCUGAUUAGCUAGUUGGUGAGGUAACGGCUCACCAAGGCGACGAUCAGUAGCUGGUCUGAGAGGAUGAUCAGCCACACUGGGACUGAGACACGGCCCAGACUCCGACGGGAGGCAGCGGUGGGGAAUAUUGGACGAGGGGCGCAAGCCUGAUGCAGCCAUGCCGCGUGAGUGAUGAAGGCCUUAGGGUUGUAAAGCUCUUUUAUCCGGGACGAUAAUGACGGUACCGGAGGAAUAAGCCCCGGCUAACUUCGUG